rnacentral:lncRNA from 1 species
CGGCGAGGCAGGGAGGGAGCCAUUGUGACGCGCCCGGCUGGGACCGGAGAUUGGUCAGCCCAGCGUGGGGGGAGCCGGGGCCCGUCGAGGGGGGCCGGAGGGCAGCGGCGCGCCAGAGCGCUCCUGAGCCCCUGAAGGUACAGAUGAAAAGCACCCCAAACAGCCCCAAAGACGCCUAGAUCGAAGACCACCGUGAGAGGAGAAAAUGGGAGUCACUUCCUGCCGAGGGAGAAAGGGAACCAAGGACAGUGGAGACAUAAAGGCGGCUCCAAGGGCCGAAUUUGCGGAGCGGCCGCAGGCUGUGCUCCCAGCUCUUGGAUCGCUACUCGCAAUGUCGAGUAGUUUGACCUGGCUCCCGGUUCCCCCGGAGGGCAGCGCCUUAGACUCAGGCCUGGUUCUCGGAGACAGUGCAGGGGCAGAGAAUGGUCAUAUGCAGGAGAAACACGCCAGCUCGAUGUCAUUUGAGUUUCUGCUACAUCCAGGCCACCCGUGUUUUUGCUCUAAACGAGGCAGACUGAAUUUGUCAGCCCUUGGUGCAGCACUAAGAAAAGCAGCCCUGAGAGCCACGUUUGGUAGCUGGCCUGAAUGCCCUGAUGACCGUAAGCAAUGUCGUGGAAUAUUGACCACAGAAUGAGUUCUCUCUCUGACGGGGUAGAAGAAAAUAAGACAACUCUAAUCGUGCCUGAACAGAUAAAAAACAGACACUGUGCAAGCCCAAAGAUGACCAAACAUCCCAUCCCCAGCUAACGUGAGUGCCUACUGCUUCUCCAAUGACAACUCUACCCUGCUCCAUUCCUCCUGCUUUCUAGAUAAAAAUUACUAAGCUAGUCACUGAAUUGCCCCUGCUUUCUGACAACACCAGAACAGAACCUGUUUCCUUGGACCCUCCCCAAAAUCACCUAACAGAAGCCCAUAUACUAUAAUGAACCCUCUUGAACACCCCUAUCCUGAGACUCCCCAUUGUGUGAGUUCUCUCACACUACAGCAGCUGAUAACCCUUCAUUGUUUGACCAUAACUAUGUCUGGGUAGUCUUUGGUGGGCAUCAUCAGUAUGAAUAAACUCGUAUUUCAGAAUUAUAAAUAAGCA